rnacentral:rRNA from 1 species
UCAGAAUCAACGCUGGCGGCGUGCCUCAGACAUGCAAGUCGAACGCGAAAGCUCCCUUCGGGGGGCAAGUAGAGUGGCGCACGGGUGAGUAACACGUAGGUAAUCUACCUUCGGAUGGGGAAUAACAACCGGAAACGGCUGCUAAUACCGCAUAAUGCAGCGGCACCUAAUGGUGACAGUUGUUAAAGCGGGGGAUCGUAAGACCUCGCGUCUGAAGAGGAGCCUGCGGCAGAUUAGCUAGUUGGUAAGGUAACGGCUUACCAAGGCGAUGAUCUGUAGCCGGCCUGAGAGGGCGGUCGGCCACACUGACACUGACAUACGGGUCAGACUCCUACGGGAGGCAGCAGUCGGGAAUUUUGGGCAAUGGGCGAAAGCCUGACCCAGCAACGCCGCGUGAAGGAUGAGAUCCUUCGGGAUGUAAACUUCGCAAGAACGGGAAGAAUAAGUGAGGGUUAAUAUCUUUCGCGAUGACGGUACCGUUGU